CUACCUGAAGAUCCUUCCUUUUGGAGUAUUAGAUGAGUCUUGAUUCUUGGGAUGAGGGAGUUGGAUGUGAUCAUCCUUAAAGGUUCCUUCCAGCUCUGAGGAGUCCUUGACUGGGGAAAUGGAACAGCGAAUAUACUCUGCCAAUCUCAGUGAUGGCAUUAACUGGAGUACUGUUGAAGUAAUUUUUACUUAGUAUUGACUAAGUGCUUUGAUAAGCACUGUACUAGAGUUAAACUUAUCAUUCAGAACUAUACUAUGGGUUCUAAAAUCAGGUACUAAUGGGGCUUACUGAGAUACAGAAGAUGCAUCCUUAGCUGCUCUGCACUUUUAUUCAUGAGGUGAAGCAGAGCAGCCAGGGAGGUUCUUAUGAAAGAGACAUUUUAGAUUUCCCAGGUUAGAAGAAAAUCCUGCAGCAGCCAUGAUUAUAUAUACGUCCUUUCCCUCUAUGCAAUCAUGGGAUUUGUGUCCUGCAGAUAGUGACAUCACUGUGCACCACCAGUUGGGAUUCCUGUGAGCUGGCUCUGCUCCUAGAAGUGGUAAUACCACCACUCUAAGGGUAAUGCAAAACACUAUGAUGGCAGAGGAGGAUCUCCUGGGAGCCCCAGGGAUGGAGAUAUAUAGAUGCAGAUGCUGAAGAUAUCUAAGGGGGCUGGAGUUGAUGAUCCUUAUGGGUCCCUUCCAAGUCAGGAUAUUUUCAGGUUCCACAAACUCUGUUAUGCACUUGUAGAAUUUUUAACCAGUGAAUUUCACUGAAGAGCAAAAAGAGCAAGUGCAUAUAAAAAUAUUAGCAUUUUUCACAUGCUUUGUAAGCACGUGAGUGAUGCAUUGAAGAAUCCUUCAAUUUUCAUAUGCCUGAUGCUUGUUUAACAGCAACAAUAAAGCCUGCUUAAAGCGGCCUCUGCUUUAACCACUAGAUCUUCAUCGAGGCAGAGAGGGGCUGACGGUGUUUCAGAAGUGAGAAGCUUUCCAUGCUGGCACUGUGAGCAGCCUUUGACCGAGGGGUGAGAGCCUCACCAUCCUGCACACAGAGUCCUAAGCAGCCUUAGAUUCCCUCCCAGCUGACAUCAAUGGCGGAACUUCUACGGGCUCAGCAAGGACAACUGCAAUUGUAAACAACAAAAACAGAAAUGAGUUUUUUGCUCCGCGGUAUGAAGCCAUUUUUAUAGAUUUCCAGAAUCAGCAGGCAUAAAAAUAGUAGGUAUUUUGCAGGCUGUCUCUCCUUCCCUUGGUAAAAUUGCCUUUGUUUGUGAACUCGCUGGCAGACAAACCCAAGUGUUCUGAGGGAGGUGUGCACG
rnacentral:lncRNA from 7 species